AACACAUGCAAGUCGAACGAGGUCCAAUCUUCGGGUGAAGACCGAGUGGCGAACGGGUGAGUAACACGUGGGGAACCUGCCCUUCUCUCUGGGAUAACCUCGGGAAACCGAAGCUAAUACCGGAUACUCCUUGCGGACCGCAUGGUCUGCUCGGGAAAGCUCCGGCGGAGAAGGAUGGCCCCGCGGCCCAUUAGCUUGUUGGUGGGGUAACGGCCCACCAAGGCGACGAUGGGUAGCCGAGCUGAGAGGCUGAUCGGCCACACUGGGACUGAGACACGGCCCAGACUCCUACGGGAGGCAGCAGUGGGGAAUCUUGCGCAAUGGGCGAAAGCCUGACGCAGCAACGCCGCGUGCGGGAUGAAGGCUCUCGGGUCGUAACCCGCUUUCAGCAGGGAUGAAAAUGACAGUACCUGCAGAAGAAGCCCCGGCUAAUACGUGCCAGCAGCCGCGGUAAUACGUAUGGGGCAAGCGUUAUCCGGAUUCAUUGGGCGUAAAGCGCGCGUAGGCGGCUUGUUAAGUCAGGCGUGAAAUCCGGGGGCUCAACCCGCGGCUUGCGUCUGAAACUGGCAGGCUUGAGUCUGGUAGAGGAAAGUGGAAUUCCUGGUGUAGCGGUGAAAUGCGCAGAUAUCAGGAGGAACACCAGUGGCGAAGGCGGCUUUCUGGGCCACGACUGACGCUGAGGCGCGAAAGCUAGGGGAGCGAACA
rnacentral:rRNA from 1 species